CCAGUGAGCGGCGGCGGUGUCACCUCGGAUGUCCUUGCCCAUCACGUGACGAGAUUGAAACAACCCAAACCAAAACAGAAAAAAAGGGACCUCAUUAUGGUAUCCUUCAAUAAAAACUACAGAAAUAAAAGGAGGAGGAAAAGAUGAUGAGAAGAGAAGAAGUAGUCCUAUUAUCGCCGUAACCACUACCAUCAACACCUUCACCACUACCGCCUCCACUUCAACCACCACCACCACCACCACCACCACCACCUCCAGUGACCUCCAGACGUCAUUGUGAACUUUCCGUGCUCCACCCCUCCCACGCACCCGUCACGCCGCCCGCCCGUCACGCCCACCACCUUCGCGGGAGGCGACAGGUGUUACGAGGGGACCCGCUCCUCCCGUCCCCUGCACCCCGCCCUUCCCCCACCGCCUCCACCACCA